CUUGAUGAGUAGGGCGGGACACGUGGUAUCCUGUCUGAAUAUGGGGGGACCAUCCUCCAAGGCUAAAUACUCCUGACUGACCGAUAGUGAACCAGUACCGUGAGGGAAAGGCGAAAAGAACCCCGGCGAGGGGAGUGAAAAAGAACCUGAAACCGUGUACGUACAAGCAGUGGGAGCACGCUUAGGCGUGUGACUGCGUACCUUUUGUAUAAUGGGUCAGCGACUUAUAUUCUGUAGCAAGGUUAACCGAAUAGGGGAGCCGAAGGGAAACCGAGUCUUAACUGGGCGUUAAGUUGCAGGGUAUAGACCCGAAACCCGGUGAUCUAGCCAUGGGCAGGUUGAAGGUUGGGUAACACUAACUGGAGGACCGAACCGACUAAUGUUGAAAAAUUAGCGGAUGACUUGUGGCUGGGGGUGAAAGGCCAAUCAAACCGGGAGAUAGCUGGUUCUCCCCGAAAGCUAUUUAGGUAGCGCCUCGUGAAUUCAUCUCCGGGGGUAGAGCACUGUUUCGGCAAGGGGGUCAUCCCGACUUACCAACCCGAUGCAAACUGCGAAUACCGGAGAAUGUUAUCACGGGAGACACACGGCGGGUGCUAACGUCCGUCGUGAAGAGGGAAACAACCCAGACCGCCAGCUAAGGUCCCAAAGUCAUGGUUAAGUGGGAAACGAUGUGGGAAGGCCCAGACAGCCAGGAUGUUGGCUUAGAAGCAGCCAUCAUUUAAAGAAAGCGUAAUAGCUCACUGGUCGAGUCGGCCUGCGCGGAAGAUGUAACGGGGCUAAACCAU
rnacentral:rRNA from 1 species